rnacentral:tRNA from 1 species
GGGCCCGUAACUCAGUCUGGUUAGAGUGACUGGCUCUUAACCAGUCCGUCGCGGGUUCAAAUCCCGUCGGGCCCG